ACUAGUUGUAAUCUCUAGUCAUAAAGAAGUUCGUAAAAAUACCCAGUCUGUGGAAUGGCUAUUUCAAUUAAAUUUUAUUCGACGACUUUAUAUGUAUAGAGGAAAGUAGGCAUUGAAAUGCACACUAGUUACACGAGGCUUUUUAACGAUAAAUAGCGAAACUUCUUUCAUAACACUUCUCGUUGUAUAAAUAAAGUUAUUGCCUGCAUUCUACUAUAAUUUUUUACUUAACAAUUUUGUGAUAAGUAUUUUCAGCUAAGAAAUUAUUAUGUAGCAGAAAUGGGUACUCAAGCAUCAAAUUGCCAUUAGGAUUAAACGAAGAACACAACAUCGAUAAGAAAAAUUACAAACAAAUAGAGUCCAAAGAUCCAACAAAAGUAUUCCAGAAACUUCCUUAACAGCACUGCCAAAAACGAAAUCUCUUUUGAAGCAAGCAGGAAACGGUUCCUGGAAAGAUCAGUUCAUUUACAAUAAAAAAUGAAAAAAUACGUAUAAAAGAGACCGAUGUGAUAGAGUUACUGCGAACAAGUUCCCUAAGAAAGACCACAAACAUCGAGUGGCCAUUGAAACAAAGAGAGCUACCGUACAGAGGCUCGGUUAUCAGCAGAAAACAUUUUUCCUGGGUGUCGGGAACGAUAACGUGGCCAGGCCACGUUCAGCACGAGUGAGAACAGUCGUGAGCGACUACAGGCAGCAGGAAUCGUACACAGCUGCUGCCGGCCUGAUUGUUCCUCCCGGUAGAACCGGCGAUCGGUGUCACUGUGUCGAGCUGUGCUACCGGUGACGUCACUGCUCAACACCGUCAACAGCCAUCCCCUCUACGAUCCUCGUAACGCUAUUCACGACACUUGCUUACUUACGACACUGAAUAAGGAACGAACGCCAGAGAUUAGCAGCUGGCAGAUAAUGUUGCAGCGUGUAUGCGAAAACCGGCUUUUUCUCGGUCGGACAACGAGCCACGCGGUUUCGUUGUCCCUAAGUGAAGUUCAGCUCCAGUAAAAAGACGUAGAUCACAGUAAACGAGAUCAAACAAUGAGUCAGUUGGCUAAGAGUACAACUACGACCAGUUUAAUGCUAAUGGGUUUCGAUCAACUGUCUUGGAUAAAAUACAGUUGAAAACUCCUUAACGCUCUUGUCAGCGGUUCUUCCUACUCUUCAUGCGUCAUUGUGCACGCAUAACGUCACGGCCGCUCGUGGAAAUUGACGCCACAGCUUUUAUUCGGAUUUUACGAGCUUGGAAACGAAGGACUGCACUGCGAUACCGACCUUAAAUUUAUCAACUGUGUCACGAUCAUCGUGUAAAUUCGUAAAACUGAACAGAGAACCAUAUCCGAUGACAUGCUCGAGAAGAAAACGUUCUUUCUGCUUCACGGUCUCGGAUACGAAAGCUGAGAAGACAAGAGACACGGACGGUUUCGGGGAACGAACUUUCUUUUUGGCCUAAUUGGAGAAAUUAAUCUUUUUUUAAAGUGGAACACUUUAUAAUAAAUAUUUUCCUUUCUAAGUGGAUCA
rnacentral:lncRNA from 1 species